GAGAGACGUAAGGUAAUUCAAGAGGAAACGCUUGAGCAAUUACUGAUGUUGUAAACUGGGAUCAGAAGACAUACAUGGUAUCGUAUCCCAGGCAAGGCACAGUGGCUCACACCUGUAAUCCCAGCACUUUGGGAGGCUGAAGAAGGCAGAUCACUUGAGGUCAGGAGUUCGAGACCAGCCUGGCUUACAUGGUGAAACCCAUCUCUACUGAACAUACAAAAAUUAGCUGGACAUGAUGGUGAGUUCCUGUAAUCCCAGCUACUUGGAAGGGAGGCUGAGGCAGGAGAAUCACUUGAACCCAGGACGCAGAGGUUGCAGUGAACCG
rnacentral:lncRNA from 1 species